AUGAUGACCUCCCGGCGGGCCAGCGGCGGCAGCACCAGCAGCAGCUGCGCGCUCUGCGAGGGAUCCAACCUCCCCUCCUGCUGCGCCGCGUGCGUCAACACGAGGCUGUUCGAGUACCACGCGACGCUGCGCCUGAGGAGGAACCUCCGCGACACCCUCCAGUCCCGCAUCGCCGCGCGCCUCGAGGCAAAGAGGAAAGCGGAGGAGCAGAGGAUGUGGAAACUGAGCAAAGCUCACGACAUCAAGGAGCUGAGGGAUCGGCUCAGCGAGUUGAAGAGUCGAACUGCGUUAGAGAAGAUGAAGAUCAAGCAGGCAUCAAGUGAUCUCAAGGUGAAAAGUGGUACAUUGAAUGUGGCUUUUAUCACGCUAAAAACGAAGCAAACCGAUUCAUCAACGAUGCACACCAAUGCCAUGAAAGCAGCACAGAUGGGUCUUAUGGCAACAACCUCCGAACGUCUGAAACGUCAGUCCAAAGCUGUAAAGCAGCUUUGCAGGUUGUUCCCAAUGAGGCGAGCUAUUAUAGAUGGAGAAAAGAAGGAUGGUCACAGUGAUCCGUACGAUGUUAUAUGUGGUAUUCGUCUACCUCGUGGUCUCGAUCCACAUUCAGUUCCAUCAGAGGAGUUAUCAGCUUCCUUGGGGUACAUGUUGCAAGUCCUCAGCAUUGCAAUUCAUAUCCUAUCCGCACCAGCCCUUCAUGUAGCCGGUUUUGGGGCUUCUUGUUCACGUGUAUGGCAGCGGAGUAGCUACUGGAGCACACGACAAUCCCAGAGCAAGGUUUACCCACUUUUUGUGCCAAGGCAAAAUAAUUGUUCUGUUGGAGAGGAAAAUUCAUGGACAGAAAGUGGUUCGGGUAACUUUGGUGUUGAUUCUGUGGACUCGGAUCAGAAAUCCCUUUUUGACUCCAAGAGAAGCAAUAGCUUCAACUUCUCAGCCGCAUCUUCUCACUCCAUUGAGAGGCAUCAAGACUUGCAAAGAGGGAUAUCUUUGCUAAAGACAAGUGUUUCUGCCAUCACUGCCUACUACUAUAACUCAUUGGGCUUGGAUGUGCCACCCAAUCUUUCUACUUUUGACGCAUUUGCAAAGAUGCUCCAUAUGUUAUCAUCUUCAAAGACCCUUCGAGCUGCUCUUGAAUCAAAUAUCGCCUCAAGAUCAGAAAAGCAGGCACAACAGCUAAACAGAUCAAUAUGGAAGGCAAGCUCGGCCAUCUCAUCUAACAGCAGUAUGUUGGACAGCACGCACACAGCUAUCAUGCCGAGCUCUCUAGAUAACCUCCUCCUGAACUCGAACACGAGUUUCUUGUACACCGGUAAGCCGCCGAAGCACGGCGGAGCACCCGACAGCAUUGUGGACGGCUGGGACAUGGUAGAGCGUGAGAUCCUGCCGCCCCCGCCGUCCCAGAUAGAAGACAUCGCGCAGUGGGAAAGAGCGCACACCUACGCUCGCAGUGGUUCUAAAAAGAAAUGA
rnacentral:rRNA from 1 species